CGCCAGCCUCCUUGUGCGGGUGGUUCAGUCCUCCUCUCCGCUUGCAGACCCAGAGGCUUGUGAGGGUCGUAGGAUUGACUCCUGUUGAACGAGAGCACUGGAGCCCAGGAGGGGGGCUGGCGAUAGCGCAGGCCGGAGACCACCCAGACUGACGUGAGCCCCGGUACAAACCAGGCUUGAGGGGACCCCUUGUCACUCUUGGCCUUUUCCAAUGGAACCAUCCAUCAAGAGAUGACAGCAACUCCAGCAGCACAUGCAGUGCUCUGGGCUGCCUCCACAGGCUGCAGCUUACCAACUCCUGACCUAACUUGAUCAAGAAUGCCAUUUUCUAUGGGAGAAAGAACUUGGGAAAAUUGUGAGUAAUUGUUCUUUCAUCUUCAUUCACUAUUUGACUUAAACACUUGUUAAUGACAUUUUUAAUUGCCAUUUUUAGUAAAGAUGAUGCAUUGCAUUUUAAUCUCCUCCUAAUUGGCCAGCCAAGGGGGAGGGCAGCCUCGAAUCUUCUUUCCUACCGCAUCAGGCAUCAGCUCUUUUGAGUCUGAUUUGCUGCCUAAGUAACUGCGCCGGAAGUUUCUAUGGAGUUACAGUGUGGGUGAGUCAGCCGCUGAGUUCUUUCUGCUCCUAUUCGCACGAUCUCUGAAGAGAACGUGGAUUUUCCUGUUUGUCCCCUGCUAUCUCCACAUCCACCUGGCCUGGCUUCUCUCACCAUCCCCGAGAGCCGGAGCACCCACGCAGUCCCUGAGUGCACUGGGAUGCCUGUCAGUGUCGCUGGAGUAGGACACAGAGCCACCUGCGCCAUCUGGGACGGAGAAUCAUGUACGAGCCACACUGCUCGUGCAGCAUCCGUAUUUAAGUCAAAGCUGGGUGUGUUUGCUCAACGAGAAACACCCUCUCCCUCUCUGGGCCUGUGGUCAGUCAAGAUGUGAACGGAUCCAGGGUCGCUGCAGUAAGCUCAGAGGGAGAGGCUCUGGACGACCUGCCAAUCAGGGCUUGGAGCAGGGAGGAAGCGGGAGGAGCUUUGUGAGAACUCAGCAGUGAGUUCGGGGGCAGAAAACCCACGGUCAGGUCUCCAUGUGAGCACUACUUGGGCAAGCCACUGAAUUUCCUCUGAGCCUCUCCUUCUGUAAAAGGAUUGGUGGAUCGAUUGCCAGAAUGGCCCCAGUCUCCCCAUGUGAACAUCUUUCCAGUGUGACUUUUCAGGCCUGCCAUUGAGAGGUGGAGCUGAGCUCCCCAUGCCAAGCAUUGGGUCCUGUGACCUGCCAUACCUUCCAGCGGCAGCGGCAGUGACAGUGAGCAGGCCCCAGGCUGAGGCCCAGGGGUGCUGCACGUCGCUCGCUCCUGCUCUGUUGUCUUUUUCUGAGAAUCAUAGGCCUGGACUGGCCCGCUGGGAGAGAAAUGUGUAUUGGGGGAGCUGAGGUGUCCCAGCUGACAGCUAGUCGGGCCCCACAAUCAUGCUGCCUGGCGACCCACAGCUUUCCAUACACAUGCAUGUGGGAGCAGAGCCCAAAUGACCAUCACCGCCCUGUUCCCGGCCUUCGUCGCCCAGCGGAGUUGAGGAUCGCUUGUUGUUUGAAGCUGGUAAAUUUGGGAUGUUUGCUCAGCAGCAAUAGCUGCCUGUUACACCUGCUCUAUCUCACAGAACGUUGUGAAGAGCAAAUGAAGCCACGUCCACGAGACUGCUUUGUGAAUCGUAAACAGCACACAAAUGGAAGCUGUCUCAUCAACUUCGUGAGUUUCCAUCAGUGUUGAGACCAAGCAGAAGAUGCAAAUCCAUAGAAACGGCCCCUCCGCUCCCCUCCCUGCUCCCCUCCACACACGGAAGAGCUUGUUUUUCUCUUCUAACUCUCUCGGCCCCUGUUCAUCUGCCCGGGUUCACACGCCCCACUCACGCACUCAGCCAGCACUUACUGACCAUCUGUGAUGUGCCGGGCGCUGUUUUAGGAACAGAAGAUACCGGGGUGGAGCGGGAUAGGGAGGCAAAUAAGUAAUGAAUGAAACAAAGAAAAAGACCAGAAGCGAAAGGCUGUGCAGAGAAGAUAAGUCCAGGGAGAAGUGAUAUAGUCACUGGGUGGAGACUUCAAGCUGGGUCCUUUGGAAAGGAGGUGAUGACAAGAUGAGAGCUAAUGAAGGGAAGAAGCCAAAUGAAAAUCCAUGGGAAGAAUGUGCCAGGAGGAAAGAGUGGCAUCGCAAAGACCUCGAGGCCAGAGAGGCCGAAGGCGGAUGACAGGGCCUGAGGUGGGGGCAGCGGGGCCGGGCUGGGUCAGCGGCUGGACUUCAUUCUCCAGUGUGACGGAGCCGUGGGCACCGGAAGUGAGGGAGGGCUGGCAUAGGAUUUAUGUUAGGGCCCUCGAGUUGCUGUGUGGAGACUUGCCUAUAGCAGGACAAGGGACAAAGCCUGGGGACCGUACGGGAGUCUUUCGAGGCUGUCCACGAGAGGUACGUGGGUGACUUACUUUGAGGCGGAGAAGAACAGGCCAAUUUGGGAUAUGAGGGAGGUAGUUUCAGCAGGAAUCAAGGAUGGCACUUCUUCUCAAGGCGUGUGCAUGGGGCCAUCAGAAUAUGGAGCACUUUUGUAGUUCCUAAGCGUGGACACAAACCCAUAAGGUGGUCACACUGGAAGCUGGGAGCUGCCGAGCUCCUGGGGCCCCGUGGCUGGGUGAGGGACGGGUGGAGCAGCCGGGGGGUUACUCACCACUCCAUCUUACUGCCAGGGGUGGUGCCCAGGCCUGACAGCACUGGACUAUUUAUUUGGAAAUAAAGAGAUUUCGAUGUGUACUAAUGAUCUAUUCCUGUGCAAAAAGUCACCCCACCACUGAAAGCGAUGAUAGUCCUUUUUAUCCCUCCCAGUUUCUGUGGGUCAGGAAUCCGGGAGCAGUGUGGCCGGAUGGGUCUGGCUCGGGGUCUCUCGUGACAUUGCAACCAGACGUUGGCUGGGGCUGCACUCGUCUGAAGGUCGACUGGGGCUGGAGGACCCACUUCUGAAGUGGCUGGAAAGUUGGUGCUGGCAUCGGCUGGGGCCUCAGUUCCUCUCCCCGUGGGCUUCUCCGCAGGGCUGCCUGAGUGUCCUCAAGACAUGGCAGCUGGCCUCCCCCAGGGGGAGCGAUUCAAGAGACCCAGGAGGAGGCUGCACUGCUUUUUAUGACCUAGUCUUGGAGGUCACACCGUGCUCAUGCCACAUUCUACUAGUCAUAAUGGCCAGCCUUGACUCAGUGUGGGAGGGGUGGAUGCCAGGAAGAGAGGAUCUUGGAAAUUGGCUACCAGAGUGUCCUCUGAUUCCCCUAAAAACAAAAGCUAUUGCUGACCGCUGGUGGCUAGUGCACGGGGGAUAUUUUUUUGUGGCAGGGAUUAGUCCCCAUGUCGCCCACAGGGCUGGAUUUGAGUCAGACCACCCAUGUCCAGUGCUGGCUCCUCCCACUUGGCAGAGGCAUGUAAUCCAGGUCUCGGGUUCCUCAUCUGUAAAAUGAGCUCCAUCUCCCGCCUUGUGGUGUGACGUGAGAAUUGGGUCCAGUUCUCGCCCUGCAAGAUCGGAGAAAGCUCGCUGCCCUCGUGUGAACCACCCAGUGAGGCCCGUCAAGGUCCCAAACAGCUGCUGCCAUUCAAGGAGCUUCGCUGACAUCCACGUGGGCGGCAGGUUAGCACGUGGUCCUCACCCGCCCUUGGAUGAGCCCUGGCUGUUGGCUGUCUGGGACUCGGCUUCACAUGCUUGCCGUGAGAGCGCUGAUGGUUCCGGCUCGCAGCCCCAGGUGCUGUGUGUUCCUGCCUCAAGACAGCAGGUCUGACAGGCACCAGGACUGCCCAGCGACGGAAAAGAUGGAGAAACACAACAAGGCCCUCAAUGUGACCAGCUGGCACUUGCAUCAGUGUUGAAAAUUUCAAACAGUGACACAAGUUAGGACUGUGAGGGACAAUAUUUUUGUUUGAGGAGAUGAGCGUUAACAAUGGUCGGCUCUGGUGUAAAUCUGCCGGGUCAGCUCCACUGGACCAUAACGGACAGAAAUCCAGGCCCUUUUUGGGUUUUUCUGUGUACAGUUGUCCUAAACCUGAAAUAUAUGUGAUGCAUUCCACAUAUUGCUACUUUUUCUGCUGCAAUUAUGCCUCUGUGUUAUUAAACACAUACGCCAUAUGUCUUUAUUUGAAAGCUCAGAACCUGGUCAGUGCUCAUAGCAGAGGUAAUGCCCACUGCACUUCUGGAAUUUGGUUCCAGAGCUACAUGAGUACGACUGCACAGUGACUUCCAGCCUGGCCUGUUUCCUCCCGUGUUGGACAUUGUGGGCUUCACACGGACUCCUCCUGUCCUACACACACACACACACACACACGCACACACAGAGCUCAGGCCUCCAGCUGAGCCCUCCCCAGGAACCGCCUCAGCCAGGAGGAGCUCAGAGUCAGCCAUGUCAUCCUGGGGCCACCCCAUCCGAUGGGCUCAGGCGAGCACAGAGGCCCCGCCCCUUUGCCUGCAUAACGGCAGGCCUGAAGGACCCCCAGCGGUGCCCUUCCUUGGGGCUGCCUUCGAGGUUCAAAUUCUCCCUUUGCGGGGUCCCAGUCCUCCUGCCUCGCUCCCCACAGGGACGGAGCCUAAGAGCACUCUCUGAUAUUCCGCCUCUGCACAAACCAGGGGCUGAUUUUUGGAACUCUGUUAUGACACCACUUACCUCCCCCGACCUCCGUAUUGCACUGACCUGGCCCUCUGGCCUGUCACCUCUUCCCCAAAUGCCCGUGUUGGCUCCAGAGUUGGCCCAGGUGGCAAUCAGUGCUGGACCCCAAAUAUUCCCACGGUUCUGUCUUCCAGGGUCACUAGGGCUCCCCUGCCUGGCCCUGUGGCCGGGUGGGGCUGUGUGGAUAGCUGGCUGAUAGGCUGUGGGCAGAGAUGACCUGGGUCAGUUCAAGAAGAUGGUUUAACUGCCACCUGGAGCCCUCCAGAACCGCUCCCCUCCAGCACUGACGUGGGUCCUGGAAUGUGUGCACGAGGCGAGGCCCCUGCCAGUCCUCUGUGGGCAGGGAGAGCGGAUGUUGAACCUCUGGUGGUGUGCACGCUGAGACUGGGGACCGCUGCUCACAGCAGCAUCGUCCUGUGCAUCCCCCUGAUGCAGCUCCCGGGGGCAGGAACCUCCUUCCCUGCGCUUUCUGGCCAUUUCUCUCAACUUCCAAGUUCUGUACAAAACGCAACCAUCUCUGUGAAGCCUCUGCAUUCAGCCUGGAGCCUGUUCUUACUUUGUCCUGUGAAGUUUGUCUCCCCCAUUAGACUGACGGCACCUCCAGGACAGGGAGCACAUCCCAGGCUCCUUCUCUCUGUCACAAGGCCUUGGUUGUUGCAGAGGCCAUGCUGUGAAAGGCACAGGAGGCGUGAGGAGCCGAGUUGCAUGCUGGGUGGUGCUGACAGUGUGUGUGCAGCACGAGAGGAUGCUGAGAGGAGGGCACAGCCAACACAGCUGCUGAGCGUCACACGCUGCCCUGCUUCACUGGCCCCAGGCAGAGGCCAUGGCCUCCCGCCCACCGUGAGCACCUCCCGCCCUGCCAAUGCACCACGGGCCCGGGUUCCAGCCCCUCCGCAGUGCUCUGCGACGUUCUUCUCUGUACCCUAAGAGCUUAAUAGUGAUGUCAGAUGUUCACGCACAGUCAUGUCUGUAGCUUCGUGUAUUGAGCAAACAUCAAGCAUCCUGGGGUCCCAAAUGCUGCUGAUUAGAACAGAGAAUACGCCAGUGAGUACCGUUAAAAUCGGCUCGUUGGAACAUGGGUAAUGACACUGCUGUCUAGGCAGUUCUGCACAUGUGGGGACGCAGGGACUGCACCGUCCACCUGUGCCCACCGAGCCCAUCCACCGCACAAUGGCAGCGGCACGGCCGGCUCGCUGCAGGGCCGGUGCUCAGAGAGCCAGAACCGCGGCCUGGCUGGGUCAGAUCUCCCAGAGCAAGGUCAGCCGCGGGGCACACUGCCACCUCAGCAGCCUCCUGCUGCCGUUGCUGUCAUGUUCUCUGAAACACCUGACUUUCCUCAAAAACAUUUUGAGGAGGAUCCACAAGGCCUCCCCGCUUCACUCUGCUGCUGAAUCAUUUCCUCUGAACUGUUUCAGAUCUUUUAUUUAAUUGCUUGACGUUGCUCAUCUGUCCCAGAACUGCCUCUCGCAUAGACUCGGCUCCCUGACCUGUUAAAGGAGCCCCACGGGCUGCUGCUGAUUGGCCUGCGGUGGGCGAGACUCAAGUCCAGCCCCUGAUCCGCUCGGGGGCGCACAGCAAUGUGUCUCUGAUGCGGCCUCUGGGGUUGUCCAGGAUCAAAGACGUUUCUGGGGCUGAUGAUUCCCCCUGACCCCGUCACCCUCCUUCGCAGAGUCCUGUGCCGGUGGAGAGAGGAGGGUGAUCCUGCAGCCAGAGCAGACGUCCCGACUGUGCUGUCCAUCUGCUGCUCUGCCUCGACGUGUUAUAAACCGAGUUACAUACCCCAGGUUUGAACAAGUUGAGUUUAAACUUGCGCUGAAAAUAGAGAAUGG
rnacentral:lncRNA from 1 species